UACGGAGGGUGCAAGCGUUAAUCGGAAUUACUGGGCGUAAAGCGUGCGCAGGCGGUUUUGUAAGACAGUGGUGAAAUCCCCGGGCUCAACCUGGGAACUGCCAUUGUGACUGCAAAGCUAGAGUGCGGCAGAGGGGGAUGGAAUUCCGCGUGUAGCAGUGAAAUGCGUAGAUAUGCGGAGGAACACCGAUGGCGAAGGCAAUCCCCUGGGCCUGCACUGACGCUCAUGCACGAAAGCGUGGGGAGCAAACAGG
rnacentral:rRNA from 1 species